AAUAUAGAACGGAACCAUCUUGAUAGGGAUAGUUUGGACGAGGAGGGGCAGCCGAGGUGGAUGCGCCAUGCCUAGCAGAACGGGAACGUUUUGAGUGACGGCUCGACAUUUUUAAUGAAAGCUGCUGGAUUUUGCAAAGGAUUAGAGGGAAUUUGAUAUUUUGAAAGCUAAAAUUGAUGCUUGAGUGAAUGAAUANNNN
rnacentral:lncRNA from 1 species